AUGAACAUUUUGAGUUGGAACUGUCGAGGCUUGGGGCAACCUCGUACAGUUCAAGAGCCUGUGUGUCUCACUAAGACACACCGUCCCAAUGUUAUCUUUCUUUCGGAAACUAAAAAUAACGACUAUGUUGAGCUUUUGCGUUAUAGGUUGGGUAUGAAUAAUUUGUUUAAUGUUUCUAGCUAUGGUAAAGGUGGAGGUCUUGCUGUGUUUUGGGAUGAAGCAUACUCAUGUGAGCUGAACAAAUAUGAUGAACACUUUAUUGAUAUGUACGUCGACAAGGGAGGGAGGUGGAUCACAAAGUGGAGGUGCAUUUUUAUUUAUGGAGAACCUAAGGUGUGCCAAAGGUACGUUAUGUGGGAUCUCUUGAGACGGAUUAAACCUCUUGGUGUUGGACCUUGGGUUAUGAUGGGGUAUUUUAACGAAGCUAUAUGGCAAAAUGAACACUUUUCUCGUCAUAAGAGGUCUCCUAGACUCAUGGCUAAUUUUCGUGAUGUUUUGUCGGAUUGUAAUUUAUAUGAUUUGAGCUUUAAAGGUGUUCCAUGGACGUAUAAUCAUAAGGAGGGCAACAAAAAUGCAGGUACGCCUUGUCCGUGUGGUUGCUUGCCCGCUUUGGUCUUUUCUUUUCCCACGGUGCAAGGUCUCCCAUAUUAUAAGAGCAUCUCUAGCAGAACCUUUAUAAGGAUAACUCUUAUAAGGGGUUUACAGUUCACAUUUUCCCUCUUAUAA
rnacentral:rRNA from 1 species